UGCUCUUCCUAUCUGUCCCCCACUACCACAAAUUAUGCAGUCGAGUUUCCCACAUUUGGGGAAAUCGCAGGGGUCAGCACAUCCGGAGUG